CUCGAAAUUCGAAUCCUCGUUUUAAAAAGUUUCAACUUUUACAAGUGUGAAUGGAGCGUAUUAAUAAAAUCUAAUGAUGCUUACAAACUUUAAAGAAACGAGUCACUUAUACGCGAUCCGUGUACGGUUUAUAAUUAUGGUCCAAAAAAUAAAUUAAAAUUUUUUAUCUAGGUUUUUAUUUUUAUUUAAGGUUAUACCGCGAAUUUGUUCGUUUUUCCCCUUUGUUAUUGUUGUUAUUCAUCACUAUCGAAAAUAUCGACUAUUCGAGUAUUUAAGUAUCGUCGCAAUAAUUAUUGUCGUCAGUGUCGGUUUGUCACUUGUCGAUCGCUCGUUCAUUAAUCAUUAUCGGUUUAUAUAGUGUUUUUAUUUAUUCAUUAUUGUGUGUAACUGUUAAAUUGUAUUAUUGUAACCAAAACGACAUACUAUACCGAUUUUAAAUUACCAACACCUUCGUCUGGAUGGUCGUCUAUGUUUUCAUGAUCAGAUGCGAAUGAACGAUGCUGUUGUUGAAUAUCAUCCAUCGAAAUAAAGACGAGUGUUUCCUAUUAAUAUUGGCGCUUUUGCUUUAUUAUGUGAUGAUAUUCUUAGAAGAAACUGAGAAACUUCGUUGAGAAGAUCCGAUUAGUGGAGCACACACUCAAAAUAUUGAACGUUUAUGGCGAUCGACUAUAGAACAGAAUAAAAAACACUCGGGAACUCAUCGGUCUAUGUUUCCUACAUAGGUGAAUUUUUGUGUAAUCAAAAAAACGAUUUCUACAUUAAUUAUUCAAAGAUGUUUGUUGAAGAUUUAGUCAAAGGAUUUUAUGACAUAAUUUCAAAAAACAAAAUUUUGAUUUUGGUGAACUAUGAUGUGGAUGCAAUUUGUGCUGUGAAAAUACUUCAGUGCAUAUUACGUUUUGACAAUAUAGUUUAUGUGCUUGUACCGGUAAAAACUGUUUCAGAGUUAAAAAAAGCUUUUGAAGAGCAAAAAGUCGAUGUAAAGUAUGUUGUGUUAAUCAAUUGUGGCGGUACAUUAGAUAUAAUAGAAAUAUUAGAACCAGAGGAAAAUAUUACUUUUUUUGUUGUUGACAGUCAUAGACCUACAGAUAUAUGUAACAUUUAUAGUAGUUCUCAGGUUAGAGUACUGACCCCUCCUGAUGAUGAAGAAAAAAUUCCUGAUUUUGAAGACAUUUUUAAUGAGAAUGAAUCAUCAGACGAAGAUGUCGAUUCCGAUGAACUGGAUGAAGAAGAAUCUGAUAUUGUUAAUGUCAAUAGCGUUGAAGAACAACAAAACAAACGAAGAAAACUUGAUCAAACUACACUAGUUAAAAGAAGGGAAAGAAGAAGAUGGGAAGAAAAUAGAAAAAAAUUGUUAUUUGAUUAUACUCAAUUUUCAUACUAUGGGCGUUCGGCUGCAAUGUUAAUGUUUGAUCUUGCUUGGAAAUUACACAGAGAAUCUGUUGAUUUAUUGUGGUGGGGAAUUGUUGGUGUGACUGAACAGUACAUCUUGGGCAAGACAGAACGUAUGCGUUACCUCAGAGAAGUAGAAUUGAUAGCCGGUCACAUUGGUCGUAUUUGUGAUUCUACAGCUAUUAAUGAUGAUGAAGAUAAUAUGUCACAAUCUUCAAUGCCUAAACCCUCAAACACUUCUACACAUGUUCGAAUUGAAUCCGAAAAAGAUCUACUAUUGGCUCUAUACAGACAUUGGACAAUUGAAUGCAGUCUUCGAUAUUCAAUGUUUACAGCAGUAUCUUUGAAACUUUGGACGAUUAAAGGGGAAAAAAGACUAAAACAAAUAUUAGCAGAAAUGGGGUUACCUCUAGCUGAAAGUCGUCAAAUGUACCAUUCAAUGGAUUUAAGUUUACGUAAACAAUUUUAUGGUAUGAUGGAAAAAAUUUCCAAUACCCAUAAUUUAUUACAAAUGACUUAUCCUUCGUUUAUGCUACAUCAAGGAUUUAAAACGAGGUAUCAAUGUGCUGACUAUGUUUAUUCAAUGGUUGCUACAUUAGAAACCAAUUCUCGUGAAAGUUCCCCUACACAGUGUUUUUAUAACACAAUGGAUUCGUUGUCCAGAUCAAAAAAAGAUUUUUUAGACCAAGGAAUAGAAAAAGCCAAGUGGAUAUUGUCCAACAUGUUUAGGCAUGUCCAGGCAGCAUUGGACAUGAGACAAGUCAUAUUAGCUGGCCCAUUUUACUAUUUAAUUGUACAAGAGGGUACAUUGCAUUCUCAGCACUAUUCCAAUCCACACUGCUUAAUUAUGUUAGCAUCAUUUGCGUUAAGAGCACAAGUAGCGUCCUCAAGAAAAAUCAAAGCUACUCGUUUGCCAUUAAUUGCUUCAGCAACUCUUGAUUCAGAUCAAGAUACAUGUCUAGUAGUUGGUAUCCCUCCUAUCACCGAGUCAAUGCCUAGAAGGCUGAGCGGUGUAGCGGUGGUGGAGUCUUCGUCGGCGGCGGAAAUUGCGGCAGUGACGGCGGUGGACCAAUGAGAACCGGAGAAAUGCUUAUGUCACAGUACAUGGUUGGGCCGAGGGUGGGUGCGCAAUUUGUGUCUAAACCGUUUUUUUGGAAAAGCAUUCGAACAAGUUUCCAACAAAACGAAUAUUGAAGUUUCAUUGGAUUACUUCGAUUCGUCUAUUGCAAAAAUGCAAACUAAAGAUCGACCAAAGUUUUUUGAUGCCCUGACAGCGUUACUUAGUUGACAUUUGACAAGUAAUGUGUAUUUUAUUAAGUAUUAAUUGUUUAAAUUUGACAUAAUGUAAAUUAGUAAAAUAUGUUUUUUAAUUAUAAGCACAAUAACAUUUUUUUUUUUUUUAUAUAUGAAAGUUGUUUAUUUCAUUAAAUAAAAUAUUAAAAUAAGUA
rnacentral:misc_RNA from 1 species